UACAGAACGAACGCUGGCGGCGUGCUUAACACAUGCAAGUCGAACGCGAAAGGGACUUCGGUCCUGAGUAAAGUGGCGCACGGGUGAGUAACGCGUAGAUAACCUGUCUUCAUGUCUGGAAUAAUACGCCGAAAGGGGUACUAAUACCGGAUAUUCUUGCUUUUCAUAAGUUAUGCAAGCAAAGGUGGCCUCUGCAUAUGCUACUGCAUGAAGAGGGGUCUGCGUACCAUUAGCUAGUAGGUGGGGUAAUGGCCUACCUAGGCGACGAUGGUUAGCGGGUCUGAGAGGAUGAUCCGCCACACUGGCACUGGAACACGGGCCAGACUCCUACGGGAGGCAGCAGUGAGGAAUAUUGCGCAAUGGGGGAAACCCUGACGCAGCGACGCCGCGUGAGUGAGGAAGGCCUUCGGGUCGUAAAGCUCUGUCAAGAGGAAAGAAGUGUACAAUGGCUAAUACCUGUUGUAUUUGACGGUACCUCUAAAGGAAGCACCGGCUAACUCCGUGCCAGCCGCCGC
rnacentral:rRNA from 1 species